UAUCUCUUGUCUUAGUGGACUUGGUCGGGG
rnacentral:piRNA from 1 species